UUUGAAAUCCGGCCCCCGGGUCUGAGUUGUAAUUUGAAGAGGAUGCCUCGGUGCGGGCCCCGAUCGAAGUUCCUUGGAACAGGACGUCAUAGAGGGUGAGAAUCCCGUCUGUGGUCGGUGGCCCCUACCGUGUGAGGCUCCUUCGACGAGUCGAGUUGUUUGGGAAUGCAGCUCUAAAUGGGAGGUAAAUUUCUUCCAAGGCUAAAUAUCAGCCAGAGACCGAUAGCGCACAAGUAGAGUGAUCGAAAGGUGAAAAGCACUUUGAAAAGAGGGUUAAAAAGCACGUGAAAUUGUUGAAAGGGAAGCGCUUGCCACCAGAGUUGUCCGGGGGGUUCAGCCGACCUUCUGGCUCGGUGUACUUCCUCUCGGGCAGGCCCGCAUCAGUUCGGCCGGCCGGAUAAAGGCCGCGGGAAUGUAGCACCCUCGGGUGUGUUAUAGCCCGCGGUGCAAUACGGCCUGGCUGGACUGAGGUCCGCGCUUCGGCAAGGAUGCGGGCGUAAUGGUGGUCAGCGGCCCGUCUUGAAACACGGACCAAGGAGUCUAACAUCUGUGCGAGUGUUCGGGUGUCAAACCCGUGAGCGUAAUGAAAGUGAACGGAGGUGGGAGCCCUCGGGCGCACCAUCGACCGAUCCUGAUGUCCUCGGAUGGAUUUGAGUAUGAGCAUAGCUGUUGGGACCCGAAAGAUGGUGAACUAUGCGUGAAUAGGGUGAAGCCAGAGGAAACUCUGGUGGAGGCUCGCAGCGGU
rnacentral:rRNA from 1 species